rnacentral:rRNA from 1 species
GCAAGAGUGAAACUCAAAGGAAUUGACAGGGGCCCGCACAAGUGGUGGAGCAUGUGGUUUAAUUCGAUGAUACGCGAGGAACCUUACCUAGGCUAGAAUGCGCGUGACCGGCUCAGAGAUGAGCCUUUCCUUCGGGACACAAAGCAAGGUGCUGCAUGGCCGUCGUCAGCUCGUGCCGUGAGGUGUUGGGUUAAGUCCCGCAACGAGCGCAACCCCUAUGGUUAGUUGCCAGCGGAUAAUGCCGGGGACUCUAGCCAGACUGCCUGCGCAAGCAGUGAGGAAGGCGGGGACGACGUCAGGUCAUCAUGGCCCUUACGCCUAGGGCGACACACGUGCUACAAUGGACGGUACAGCGGGUAGCUACCAGGCGACUGGAUGCCAAUCUCGAAAAGCCGUUCUCAGUUCGGAUUGGAGUCUGCAACUCGACUCCAUGAAGCUGGAAUCACUAGUAAUCGCGCAUCAGCCAUGGCGCGGUGAAUACGUUCCCGGGCCUUGUACACACCGCCCGUCAAGCCAUGAAAGUCUGGUAGACCUGAAGCUGGUGCUCCGCAACGAAGCCAGUUAGGGUAGA